rnacentral:lncRNA from 1 species
UCAAAAUUUGAAAUCUUAUCCCCAAAACCUCAUUUCUCAACUCUAAAACCUAAACCCUAAACUCUAAACCCUAAACCCUAAACCCUAAACCCUAAAAUCUAAACCCUAAACCCUAAACUCUAAACCCUAAACCCUAAACCUAAACCUUAAACCCUAAAUUCUAAAUUCUAAACCCUAAACCCUAAACUCUAAACCCUAAACCCUAAACCCUAAAUCCUAAAUCCCA